GCGACGGGUGAGUACACGUGGGCAAUCUGCCCUUCACUCUGGGACAAGCCCUGGAAACGGGGUCUAAUACCGGAUAAUACUCUGUCCCGCAUGGGACGGGGUUGAAAGCUCCGGCGGUGAAGGAUGAGCCCGCGGCCUAUCAGCUUGUUGGUGGGGUAAUGGCCUACCAAGGCGACGACGGGUAGCCGGCCUGAGAGGGCGACCGGCCACACUGGGACUGAGACACGGCCCAGACUCCUACGGGAGGCAGCAGUGGGGAAUAUUGCACAAUGGGCGAAAGCCUGAUGCAGCGACGCCGCGUGAGGGAUGACGGCCUUCGGGUUGUAAACCUCUUUCAGCAGGGAAGAAGCGAAAGUGACGGUACCUGCAGAAGAAGCGCCGGCUAACUACGUGCCAGCAGCCGGGGGUAAUACG
rnacentral:rRNA from 1 species